AUCUUCAAUCCUUCAUUCCAACAAGACAGUUGAUAAAUCCCCAAUCCUACAUCUAACCUAUCUUUAGCAAUCUAUACAAGCAGUUCAUUGUCAAGACAAUCAAGAGACCAUGAUGCCGCUAGUUAUGAAAAGAGGUUUCAUGGAACAAGCAAAA